UUUUGCAAGGCUUCUGGAAGGGUGAAGUACACUCGCCGCCGCCGUCUGCAUCUGGCGACUUAGCCAAUUCAGAGCCAGCACACCAGGUUUUCUCUGUCGAGAAACUUGGGGAACUCACUGCCUUUUUUGUGAGGGUUCUGGAAGAGGUACUUCAAAGGCUCGGAGCCAUUUUGUGAGGUUCUUGAAAGGGAGCCGGUCUUGCUGUUCUUUUGGAGCCCAGGAAGGUGAGCCCAUACAUUGUGUGGGAUCACCAAAGCAGCAGUGGAACCACCUGAGAUCACCAGAGGGAGGUGUCCUGUAUCUGUCAGCAAUCCAGG